rnacentral:rRNA from 1 species
ACGGGAGGCAGCAGUGAGGAAUAUUGGUCAAUGGGCGGAAGCCUGAACCAGCCAAGUCGCGUGAAGGAUGAAGGUAUUAUGUAUUGUAAACUUCUUUAGACGUAGAGAAAUAAGGUGCUCGUGAGCACUGAUGCUAGUAUACGUAGAAUAAGGAUCGGCUAACUCCGUGCCAGCAGCCGCGGUAAUACGGAGGAUCCGGGCGUUAUCCGGAUUUAUUGGGUUUAAAGGGUGCGCAGGCGGCCCUGUAAGUCUGCGGUUAAAUCGUGGCGCUCACCUCCUUCCCGCCGUUGAUACUGCAGGGCUUGAUUGCGGUCGAGGUUGGCGGAAUUCGCCGUGUAGCGGUGAAAUGCAUAGAUAUGGCGAAGAACUCCGAUUGCGUAGGCAGCUGACUAGGCCGUAAAUGACGCUCAUGCACGAAAGUGCGGGGAUCGAACAGGAUUAGAUACCCUGGUA